UACGGUAGGUGGCAAGCGUUGUCCGGAUUUACUGGGCGUAAAGAGCGCGCAGGCGGUCGGAUCAGUCGAAUGUGAAAGCCCCCGGCUCAACUGGGGAGGGUCAUUCGAUACUGUCCGACUCGAAGGCAGGAGAGGGAAGCGGAAUUCCCGGUGUAGUGGUGAAAUGCGUAGAUAUCGGGAGGAACACCAGUGGCGAAGGCGGCUUUCUGGCCUGUUCUUGACGCUGAGGCGGCGAAAAGCUAGGGGAGCGAACGGGG
rnacentral:rRNA from 1 species